rnacentral:snoRNA from 1 species
ACUGGUGAUGACACUUGCCUUGCCCUCACUGAGAAUGCUAUUCAGUAAUGAGAGUGUUUUCUAAGUAUUCAUUUACUCUGAGCCAGA